rnacentral:lncRNA from 1 species
CUCGAUUCUGAGACAGAUUUGACAUCGUAUGCUUCUAAUAGAUUUCAUCCUCCAUCCAUCAAAUUAAUCUUGCUUGCAGUCCUUUUUUUGUUGACUAUAGGAGGCCAACAAUAUCUACAGAAAAGGAAAAAUUUUAGUUCUCAAAUGAAAGCACUUGCAAACCAUUCCCAUUUCCUAGAGUUUACUCAUACAACAUCACCGGAGAAGAGAUAGGUACUUCUUUUUCUUUGGUUAUUCGCUUUUGUAUUUUUAUUUUAAUUGACACCACAAUCUCCUCAUGUUCAAAUAAGUUUUAUAAGAGAGUGAUGCCAGGUUCAAAAAAGAAAAGAAACUAAUCAAGUAAUGAUGUUCACAAGUUUUGAUGAUCAAUCUGUGUUUCAGUCCAUAGAUAAAUAUUGUGGGUAGCAAAUGCAAAGCUAAAUCGACCAUCAUUGAAUAGCUAUAUUCAUUGCUCACAUAAGAUGCAAAAUUGUUUAAACUAAAUAGAUUUUGAUUUAACAUGUGAUUAUUAUUGUAAUAGGAGGGAGAUGAGGGUUAAGAAUGGAUACAUCGAUGGUAAUGGCAAGAAGUUCUCAUGUGGUGAUUGGUGCCAAGAGUAUGUGUUCCCAGCGACUAUAACCAUUAUUAUCUCACACAUUGCAUAUAUUAUAACCACUUCAUUUUG